rnacentral:rRNA from 1 species
GGGCGCAAGCCUGAUGCAGCCAUGCCGCGUGUAUGAAGAAGGCCUUCGGGUUGUAAAGUACUUUCAGCGGGGAGGAAGGGAGUAAAGUUAAUACCUUUGCUCAUUGACGUUACCCGCAGAAGAAGCACCGGCUAACUCCGUGCCAGCAGCCGCGGUAAUACGGAGGGUGCAAGCGUUAAUCGGAAUUACUGGGCGUAAAGCGCACGCAGGCGGUUUGUUAAGUCAGAUGUGAAAUCCCCGGGCUCAACCUGGGAACUGCAUCUGAUACUGGCAAGCUUGAGUCUCGUAGAGGGGGGUAGAAUUCCAGGUGUAGCGGUGAAAUGCGUAGGGAUCUGGAGGAAUACC